CUCGAAGAAAAUUGGAGGGAUGGAUGAAAACCCUAGCAAAUCAUACUCUCUAAAGAAAAUCGAUCUCUUUCGUCUCUUCAUUUCACUGCCGCUUCUUUUUCUCUAACUCUCUGCAAAAUGCUGAAGAUGGAGAUUUAGUGUUCGUAUGAAGAUGGAAAUUUAGAGAUGAUGUUGUUAGAACGAGUACUGUUCUUUUAUGUUUUCUGAAAAUCGCACCACAAUAGUUUGUGUUUAAUGAAAUUUAGAGAUGAUGUUUCACUAAGAUCAAAACGUAAAAUUGGAGACGCACUAAUGCCAGGAGACGUAAACAGACUUUGAUGGAGGUGAAGAUGAACCAAGUUGUUAGUUUCUGUUGCUGUUGUUGUAGUGGUUUUGAAGAUGUUGUGGUGGUUUUAGAUGCUGUUGCUGUUGGUUUUGAAGAUGUUGAUAGAGGCGUGUGAAGAUUUUGAUCCAGAACCAGGAUGAGAUGCUCAAGGCUGGCAGGAUCUCUGAACCCUACAAGGAAAUUGGAGAGUGUUUUGGCCGUACAAUCAAGUAGGAAAGGUUCAGACAUUGUGGAGAGGAGACACUGCCAAUGUCGUCCGUUACUUCCCUACUCAGGCCUUGAACUUUGUAUUUAAGGAUUACUUCAAGAGGCUCUUUAGUUUCAAGAAGUACAGAGAUGGCUAAUGGAAAUGGUUUGCUGGUAACUUGGCAUCCGGAGGUGCUGCUGGUGCUUCUUCACUUCUCUUUGUCUACUCUCUUGACUAUGCUAGAACUCGUCUUGCCAAUGACGCCAAGUCUGCAAAGAAGGGAGGAAAGAGAUAAUUCAAUGGAUUGGUUGAUGUCUACAGGAAGACUAUUAAAUAUUUAAAUCUGGUGGAAUUGCUGGGCUUUACUGUGGAUUCAACAUUUCAUGUGAUGGAAUCAUUGUCUACCGUGAAAACAAUGAUUUUCCUUACCUCGGGGUGGGUUGCGUCUUGGCGGGCUGGCAGCUGGUGUAAAAACUUUGCCGCAGCUUUGGAGAUAAGAUCGUUAUGCGGUUUAUCUCUGCUCGACCUGGUACUUGCUACUAGAAAAGAGCUUUGGUUUUGGUUUUGGUUUUGGAAUCAUUAUCUACCGUGGUCUUUACUUCGGAUUGUAAGAUUCUCUAAAGCCAGUUCUUUUGACUGGGGACCUUUCAGUAAGUUUGAAUUCUUGUCUCUUUUUUCUUUCACAUUUAUUUUCAAUGUGCUUUUAUAUACACCAAACAAGUCUGUGUAUAUUGGCUAAAUUAUCUCGAUUGCUUGCUGUAUCUUUGAAGACAUUGUGUCUGCAUACAUGUUCUUUUGUUUAUUGAUUUUCAGGAUAGUUUCAUGGUCAGUUUCGUUGCAAUAGACCAAAUGGUUGUAUUUUGAAGAUGCAGUUGGUUUUGAUGAUGUUGAUGGAGGUGGGAAUGAUGUUGUUGCUAGUAGUAGUGGUUUUGAUGAUGAUUGUUGUUGCUGCUAGUGGUGGUGGUUUUGAUGCUGGAGGUCGACAUGUUGCUGGUGGUGGUUUUGAGAAUUGAUGGAGGUGGAAAUGAGCUAAAUGCUGCUGCUGGAUGUACUGGUUCAUGGCAGUCAGAACAUAACCCGUGGCUGGCUCCUAAAGGUUCACCAUUCCAGAUCUAGGGUCUACUGGUUAACUGUGGUUAAGCUGCUUGAGUUAUAAGACAAGGAUAUUUUGGUGAAAAUUGGAGACCGUUUUUCUGGAAACUGUUAAGUCGGAUGGCUGAUGACCAUUCUGUAAACCAAAUUGUAAAGUAUGAACAUUUUGUAAACCAAUUAGAAAAUGUAUGACCAUUUUGUAAUUGGCA